rnacentral:lncRNA from 1 species
AGGAGAUUGAUGACAAAGAUCAUUGGUAUAGGUUGGGUGUGGAGGCCCUUCGCCAAGGCAAUGCAGGUAUAGUGGAGUAUGCCUACCAGAGGACAAAGAACUUUGAGAGGUUGUCAUUUCUUUACCUCGUUAAUGGUAACCUCGAAAAGCUGUCCAAGAUGCUGAAAAUUGCAGAAGUUAAGAAUGAUGUUAUGGGUCAGUUUCACAAUGCUUUGUACCUGGGUGAUAUACAGGAACGAGUUAAGAUCUUGGAGAAUGCUGGUCACUUACCUCUUGCUUAUAUUACAGCAUCUGUCCAUGGGCUACAGGAUGUUGCUGAAAGGUUGGCAGCUGAGUUGGGAGAUGAUAUCCCUCCUUUGCCAGAGGGUAAAGAACCUUCAUUAUUGAUACCUCCAACCCCUGUUACAUGUGGUGGUGAUUGGCCCCUUUUGAGAGUCAUGAAAGGCAUAUUUGAUGGUGGAUUGGAUAGCAUUGGCAGGGGUGCUGCGGAUGAAGAGGAGGGUGAAGAAGGUGAUUGGGGUGAAGAUCUUGAUGUGGUUGAUGUUGAUGGCAUACAGAAUGGUGAUGUUAGUGUAAAUUUCGAGGAUGCGGAAGUGGCUGAAGGAAGUGAAGAGGAGGGUGGUUGGGACCUUGAAGAUUUGGAACUUCCCCCUGAGGCAGACACCCCGAAGGUUUCUGGCAAUGCCCGUUCUAUUUUUGUGGCGCCAACUCCCGGUAUGCCUGUAAGUCAGAUUUGGGUUCAGAAAUCAUCUCUUGCUGCUGAACAUGCAGCAGCUGGCAAUUUUGAUACAGCAAUGCGUUUGCUGAGCAGACAACUUGGCAUAAGAAACUUUUCUCCUUUGAAAUCCUUGUUUCUUGAUCUUCACACUGGCAGCCAUAGCUAUCUUCGUGCAUUCUCAUCCGCUCCAGUUGUGUCGUUGGCAGUUGAGAGGGGAUGGAGUGAGUCUGCUAUUCCUAAUGUUAGGUGUCCGCCAGCCCUGGUAUUCAAUUUCUCUCAGUUGGAUGAAAAGCUGAAGGCUGGUUACAAGGCCACAACAGCUGGAAAAUUUACUGAGGCACUCCGGCUCUUCCUCAGCAUUCUUCAUACUAUUCCGUUGAUUGUUGUGGAGUCAAGGAGAGAAGUUGAUGAGGUCAAGGAGCUAAUUAUUAUUGCCAAGGAGUAUGUUCUUGGUCUGCAGAUGGAGCUUAAGCGAAGAGAAAUGAAAGACAAUCCAGUACGCCAGCAGGAGCUUGCUGCCUACUUCACUCACUGCAACCUUCAAUUACCACACCUAAGACUUGCCCUGCUGAAUGCAAUGACUGUCUGCUACAAGGCAAAGAACAUGGCUACAGCAGGUAACUUUGCCCGGCGACUGCUAGAAACAAACCCCACAAAUGAGAAUCAAGCGAAGACAGCCAGGCAAGUGCUUCAAGCUUCUGAGAGGAACAUGACAGAUGCUUCUCAGCUGAACUAUGAUUUCAGAAAUCCAUUUGUGACAUGUGGGGCAACUUAUGUGCCUAUUUACCGAGGGCAGAAGGAUGUAUCGUGCCCAUAUUGUACUAGUCGCUUUGUGCCUAGCCAGGAAGGGCAAUUGUGUACAGUGUGUGACCUUGCAUUGGUCGGGGCGGAUGCAUCAGGGUUGCUGUGUUCUGCUUCACAGAUACGAUGAGGCAACAAAAGUUGGAUCCACUUUUGAACUUAAUCCUGCUGAUCCUUUUAGAUGCAAAACCCAUCCUCAGCGAUCAACUCAUAUCUGCAGUUUAAAAGGUCAGAGUUUACUUUAGAAAUUAUUGAGAACUGAAAUUAAUUUGUUUGUGCUAUUUCCUUCUGUUUUGUUUUUUUCCGGCUUAAUAGAGUUCAUUAUGAUUUUCGUAUGUAAGAAUGAAUUUGGAUUUAUAAUUUUCUGGAUAUUCGCGUUUUUUGUUGUUUCAUAGACAAAAAAUAGAAAAGUCACGGAGCCUUGUUAAAUGAUGAUUGUUAGUCAUAGGUAGCACUUAGUAUCUGAUUCUUCGUUUCUCAUUUCCUUAAAGAGUAUCCAUGUCUUGACAUUUGCUUGGAUGCGAGUACAAGGUACGAUAAUCUAAACAUGAUAUAUAAAUAUAUUUUAUAUCCAACUCUCACUUUGAAAGUGAUUAAUUCAAUCUUUAUUCAUUUGAUAUUAGUGAUAAUGAACAUUGUAUAAGCGUGACUCUGAACUUUUGAAAUUUUAUCAAGCAUAUGAUGAGUUAAAAAUCUGACAGACCAUACGCGUUAUUGAUAGAUGAAAUAUUUUGCUGCUUUUGUUCUAUUUACAUGUUUCUUUUAUCAGAUCUGUUGAGUUACAUUGUUAACAAGUAGAGCUGAAUAAAAAGGUUUUCUGUGUAGUGUUCCAAAGCUGAUUUUGAUUUCAACUAAACUCAAUUUUAUUUUUCUUUAAUUGAUUGUUAAUUUUAUUUUUUAGUGUAAGAAAUAAAUAUUUUAUAUUUAAAAUAGUAAAAAUAAAUUAAAAAUUUUAAUUGAAAAGUUAUUAAAAAAAAAAAGAAAUACUAUGUAAGACUUACUAAUUUUUUUAUUUACUUAAAAAAAACAAUUUGUUUAAAAUAUGUUUACAGAAAAGACUUUAAAAUUUGAUCAAAAAGGUCAUAAAACAAAGUGUAGUUUGUCAAAAUAAGUUAAAUUAAAAAAUAAUAAUAUGGAGAAGUAGAGAAUUGAAUUGGAUAUUAUGAAUGUUUUAAAAAUUCAGAAAAGGUUAUUAAUUUUAUGUGCAUAAAUAUAAUUAUUGAUCAUGUGCAUACAUAUAAAAUUGAAUUAUUUAGUUAUACAGUAAAGGGUUAAUAGUAUGUUUUGCAAAUGGUAGAGGGACUGCAUACAUAUUUUCACCGAUUUGAUUGAUUUACCAUGAGUUCUGAUUGGUUAACAUUUGUUGGGCAGUGGAAGUAUAAAUAUUUUCCAACAAUUCAUCAAAUUAGGGGAGAGAAAUGGAUUUUAUUCCACUUAUCUUUACUCCUAUCCCAUACGUAUACACUGGUCAGUGGGUGAGAAAUUAUUUUUCACUAGAGUUAUUAUCCGCCUUCGCCGGGCUUUAUUUUAAAAUAAUUAAAAUAGUUUGAAAAUCAAUGUGUGUUAAUUCUUUUAAAAAACUUUUUUAGCACGACACGUACCUCUCAGGUAUUGAUACCUACAAGCUUGGUAUUGAUAUCUAGCCUUUCAUUUUGAUUUCGAGGCCACUGAUUUGCAAUGUAUGAAUAUCUAAAUUCUUAAUAUUGAUAUUUAGUCCUUAAAUUACUUAGUAAACAUUUAAAACACUUCAAAAUAUUUUAUAAACGUCUCAAAAAAUAUUUUAUUAAGUAUGGUAUUCAUUUAGAAUAUGUUUUCGAGUACUUUUAUAAACCUAGAAAAUGUUUCACCUCUAAAUGUCUUAGGGAUAAAAUUUAUUUUAAAUAUUGUUAUAUCAAAAGCUUAGACAUCUAAACUAACAACCACUCCUUGUUUUAUAUAACAAAAAUUUAAGACAAAUUUGUAAUUGGAAAAGCUUCCUUUUAAGUCAUUUAAACAUUUUCAAAAUCAAAAUUUGUGACACCCUACAUCCAAUACAGUUGUUGGAUUCGAAUGCGUAACAUCACGUUAUGUUGUUGGGGCAACUCAAACUACUUCAAUAUAAUUAUAUUAAGUUUAAUAUUAAUUUUUAUACAAUUCAAAUUAAUAUAAAUUAAUAGUCAUUCAUAUUCACAUACAUACAUUUGAGAUGUUCGACUUCGUUUAACAUGUUUCAUGGUUACUCAAGAUCGAAUACAUUUGUCAGGACUUGAUUCCAACUAAUUCAUCAAAACUUAACUAGAGGUCUAGAGAUAUUGAGGAUCAUGUCUUGAGACAGACUUUCCCCUGUUUUGGACUUUUAGAUUUGAUGAUCAAGUAUCUCGAGACUAAGGGAUUCUUGUCUUGAGACUUAAUAGCUAUUGUUAGGGAUGUCAAAUGGGUGAGGUGGGUGCAGGGGGUGCUCCCGCUGCACCCAUACCCACCAAGAAUUUUCAUCUCCAUCCCUGCCCUGCAACCCGCUAUGGGUACAAAACCUAAAACAAUCCCCGCCCCACGACCCGUAAGACUAAAACCAUCCCCACCCCACCACCCACGUGCGUCCCUAGACCCACCUAAUCCCCGCUAUACCUGCCCCACGAUCUACUUCAUAUUAUAUAUUUAUAAAUAUCAGUUAAAUAAAUAUAAACUAAACUUUUUAUGAAAAAAGUAUGAAAUACCUGUCCUUUGGACUCCUACCACAUAUGUGACAUUAUUCCAAUUGUCACCAUUUAAAAAAAAAACAAGUUGUCCCUUUAAUUAGUAAAUAAAAUAUAAAUGUCUUCAAAUGCAACACAAUGGCAAAAAUUAAAUACUAUUUAAUUAAUAAAAUACUAUUAAAAUAAUUAUUAAAUUAAAUUUUUAUAAAUAUUUAUUUUUUAAAUAUGCUUAUUAUAUUAUGCAGAGCGGGUGAGUAUGAGGCAGGUACAAUGUUAUCCCUAUGCCUACCCCACCUCCCAUAGUGGGUCUAAUUUUUGUUCCCAUCCCUGCACCACCACCCUCGAAACUUGUACCCAUCCUCUUCAAUUGGGUACAAAGUGGGGUGGGACACCGUGAAACUCGUACCAUUGACAUCUUUAGCUAUUGUCUCAAGACAUGUUCAGCGUGUCUCGAGACCAUUACCCAGAAAUGGUAUUUUUGUGCUUGAGGUCUUGAGACAUGACCAAAGUGUCUCAAGACCAACAGAUCAAAUUGCCUAAAAUGAGCAUUUUCAAACAUACAACUAUAACACCCCAAAAUUUUAGUUUUUAAAUUGUUAAAAUUUGUCAAGUGAAUUAAUUUGGUUUAGUGGUUGAGUGUCGUGCUUGUGUGUGUAAGUUUUAGGUUUGAAUCCUUUUACUUAAAUUUUUGUUAUUUUUGCCUCAGCCCCUAAUUUUGGAUAUUAAGCUUAUAUAUUAUUUUCGCUCAGUUAAAGAAAAGGAUGAGCCUGUUGAUUUAAUAGUAAGGCUUUAACUUAUCUAGAGGUCUCAGUGUUUGAAUUCUUAUGUCUGCAAAGUGGAAAUAUUUUUAUUUUCAUACACUAUGCUGUUCAUGUGGAUGUGGUUAGGUUAGAUUCGAAUUUUGAUCAGCUUAUUAGGAUAGCAACUAAUGGGAUUUAAUAAGAUUUUAUCUGGUUCAUAUUUAUUUUUAAAAUUUUUUUUUAGAGAAGUAUUCUCCCUAAAGUUCUCCCACGUUUCUCUCCCACUCCCCACCUUACGUCUAGCUUCCCCAUUUUCCAUUUUCUCAUUUGUUUUGUUUUGAUGAUAGCUUACUGGUAAAUUCUCUCUGAUUUCUUUCUCUCAUUUUUUUUUUUUCCAAAUUUUCUCUUCUUUCUUGCUCGUUAUUUUCUUUACUGUCCCAACUUCGGUGGUUGGCGUUUGUCCUGGUGCUGAUGUGUUCAUGUGUGGUAAAAUCACCGGGUAAGAGUAUGGCAUUUCUAUUAGUGUUGUAGUAUUUCUAUUUCUUGUCGUUAAGUUUCAUAAGGUAUUGGAAUAAUCUUUCAAGUGGUUGAAGGGUUCUAGUAUGAUCUUUUUAAUGUACUGAUAGGAGAAGAUCGGGAGAUGCGUGAAUUGUCUCUAGCGAAUUAGAGAAUUUGUUGGGCUCCUAUUCUGUUGGGUAGGUCGUUAAUGUUUCUGAUUAGGGGUUGAUUCAUUUGUUUACGCCAAAUGUUUAGCACUUGUGAUCGAAUUAGUGACUUGGAUUUAGCAUAUUAUUGAUAAUUCUAAUGUUCUAAAUAUUGAUUUUAGGUGCUGGAAUUACCGCUGUGGUGAGGGCAUCAAAAAAUGAUCAUGUGUGUAAUGAAAAUCUCGAAAAACAACAAACGACAUGAUGCCAAAAACUUAUUGUUGACGCUACACAGCUGUGUGGGCCACAUGGGUUGAGUUAAGUGGGUCGUGUGGACCACACGGGUUGGGCCAGUUAGGUCGUGUGGGCUAUAUGGGCAUGUGAGCCCAUUUUCUAUAAAUUUAGUUAGUGUAGUAUUCGAAGUUUGAUUUAAGGUUAGCCACUUUGUAGGUUCCGUAAUGUGUUUUGUUGGUCAUUAAAUUGUGAAAUAUGAUAUUCUGCUUAUGUUAUUACAAAUUCUGAAAGCAUGAUAGUAUGUUCUAAUAUGUAUAGCAUGUAUGAUAUAUAUGCAUUUGUUAUCCGAUUAGUGUUUGCAUGUGCAUUGGGAUAGGGUAAUGAUGUGACGGAUGAAGUGUGACAGUUUAAUGAUCUGCCUUAUCUGGUGGUUUUAACAACAUACCUGUUCUGGUGACUUGACCACACUUAUGUAAUUUUGGCGGUUUACUGCAUUAUUUCUGUCAGCUUGACUGCAUUAUUUUGAAAAGUAACAUAUGCUCACUUAUAGGUGUGCGAGAUUUGAUGAGUAUUUAAUUACCCUAAUUGGUGUGUAGGGAUGGGCGAAGAUGGUGUAGCGGAUGGGGGUAGGAUCUAUUUUUGUAUCUGAAUUUGAAUCUGUAUUUACAUUUGUAACUGUGCCUAAAUUUGUACUGUGACUGUAUUUGUUCUGUUCUGUUUGUUUGGGUUGAGUUACACAUUGAGCUUGUUAGCUCACCUAGACGACGUAAGGGAGCUGAGACCAAAUUCUUGGUAAUAAAAUGGUUAUUAAAAGACUUUGCCUUUUUAAUGGACUUUUUAGUCCUUUCGGAUUGUAAAUUAUUUUGGACUCUAUUUUCGUUCUAGUUUGCUUUUGGUUGGAUUUAGGAAUUACCAUUUUAAAUUGCAAAAUCAUAUGUACGAACUAAGUCAUGAUUUUUGAAUUCAAUAACUUAGAAAUUACCGCCGCAAAAUAAAGUAAACACUUAAGUAUUUUUUUGAAAUAAAUAAAUAGUUUUAACGAGUAUUUUUCUAAAAACUGAAAAACGAUUUGCUAAAAGUAAUGUUGACGAAACACACAAUUUCGAAAUCAAUUUAUGAGUUUAAACAAGUUUAUGUAAUUCUUCAAGAUUCGAUCAAAACUUCUAGGCCAAGUGUGGGAUGUUAUAACAACUUUCAAUCAAUUACACAGUUAGCUUAUGCUAACUUGUAACUGGAGGUGAGCCAAACUAGGUUCAAAUCGAGUCUAAGCAUGAUAUUAACAUAUUUUAUGUUUACCCAAGCCCAACCCAUUUAGAAAUAUUGGCCUAAAAUUUUGUCCAAACCUACCUAUAUUUGUAAAAGAUUAACUCACGACCAUUUAAGCCCACCCAUAUUAUUAUUUUUAAAAUAUUUAUAUUAUUAUAAUUUAAUAUUUAAUAUAUUUUUUAUUUAUUGAAAUUUUUUAUAUAUAUUCAUAUUAACACUAUUUUAUUUUUUACAUUAGAGAAGUAUUAUAUAUUUAGUAUAGAUUUAUUUUUUACGUGUUAUAAAUUACAAAAUAUAUAAAAAUAACAUAAUAUAAAGUAUUAUAAAAUUAAAAAUAGGUCGGGCUCAGGCUUGAACAUAUUUUAAAUGGGCCUAAAUUUUUUGUCCAAACCCAUUUUUUAAGCUUAAUAUUUUUAUCUAAACCCUAACAAAUUUAUUUAUAACCAAACUCAUAUGCAUUAAAUUAACCUAUCAAACAUGAUUACCCACUUACCAAACUUAUCAUUUGGUGUACAUAACCAGUUCAAGCCAAUCAUAUAAAAAUAAUCUAUCAUUUCCUUUAUGUAAUCAAUUCAACACGACAUAUCAUGCUAGUACUUGCCCCUAAGCAAUGUCAAUUUCAUAAAGUAUUCUAUAUAAUAGAAUUAUGCGUAAAGAAAUAUUAAGUUAGCACAAAUCAGAUUUGUUGUUCGUUGUCCGUUUUAGUCUUGUCGUUAUCAAACGUUGAAGCAUUAUUAAAUUCUCAACUUAAUAUAUAUUUAUAUAUAUACACAUUUAAAAUUAAACUCAUUUUACACACUUUUUAAUUAGAUUCCUUAUUUCAUCAAUAUUCAAAAUUUUCAUAUUUUAUAAUUUACUUCAUCCAAUCUAAAUAUGAUUUCGUAAGAAUACUAUAGAGACCUUAAUCUAUCAUUAUUCACUAUCAACCCUCAAAUUUCUUACCCCUUACAAUUAGGUCCCUAAUAGUUUAAACAUAACCACUAAGCUUUAAGCUUAAUUUAACAACAUUUCAAGCUAACCCAUUUCAUCCAUUUUAUAAUUUUCACAUAAUCAAGUUCAAUCUAUUAUGGUUUCGUGUUUCUAAACUCACUUGCAUUAAGAUUUCUCUGACAAUUUGAACAAUUAUUAAAAAUUAUAAAAACUAAUCAAUGGGUUGAUUAGUACAAACUUUCUAGAUCAAUAAUUCAUAAAAAUUUAUAAACGAAGCUUUCUCACUUUAUGGAAUUUUGAUCACUUAUUUUUUCUUUCUUCAUUUUUCUUCGUUUGGUCACGAAGAGGAGAAAGAUGAUAAUAAACGUUCAUUCUCCCCCCACUAUAACAUGCAUAAUUAACUAAAUAGGGUCUAAUUACUUUUAAACCCUUGGUAUAAUUGCACUUUAAGGACCUAAUUGAAUUUCCAAAUCUUAUUUCACUAGUUUGAAUAAUUUUCAACUUAGUCCCUACACUGUUUUUAAUAUUCUAUUUAACUACUAAAUAAUUUUAUUACUAAUAUUUCUAUUUCCAAUUUCUGUACUCACUUUGUAACUGAUCGAUGAAAAAAUAUUUAGACAGCUCGGUUUAAUAAAUUCGGAUCUUGGGAUCGACUUUUCCGAUACCAAUGAAAAUCGGAUCAUUACAAAACUUCCCCUUAAUAAAGCAUUACUUGAAAAAAUUUAAAAGCAAACAAUUAGACAAAACUUUAACAAAUAUUGAAUUUCAACAAUAAAUAUUACAAUAAAACAUACAUGAAAGACAAUGAAUAAAUUCAAGACUUUAUAAAUGUUAUGAAUUAAAAUCAAUAAGCAUACAUGUAUAAACAUAACCAUUUGCUUACACAUUAAAAUAUAGACAUUCAAAUAUAUGUAUGAACAAAUUUCAUGUUAUUUCCCCUUUUUUUCGUAUAUAUAAAAAAAAUGUGUCAAAUUGAACCAAAAGAUAUUAAAUGUUAUGACAUUUUGAAAAUAAAAAGCUUAUGGAGAAUAAAGAUUGAUGCAAUAGUACAAUGAGUCAUGUAGAUAACAUUAAAUUGCAUUCUCACAAUCAAACAAUAAACUUAAAAAAAUGGUAUAACAAAGAAACAUACUUAAAAUUCAUUUGUAAAGAACACUUUAUGCAAUGUUUUAAAGUUUAUGCAAGUAAGUCCUACUUGCAUAACCAUUUAUCUAAAGACAUGUCUAAGAGAAGUUUCUAAUUCAUAAUUAAAAAAAAAAAACCAAUUGUAAUAAAGAAAUAUGGUCAAUGCAUCAUUCUAAAAUAUUGCAUACAAAGAAUGAUUCAAUAAAGUCACAUACAAUUUUAAUUUCUAGUACCCAUUAUUAGAUGCAUAUUCUCAAAAUUUUUUCUCAUUUUCUAGAUACCCAUUGUUAUUAAAAAAAUAAGGCAUGGAAAGAAAAAAUUAUAAAAAAUUUGAAUACAAAAAACCAUAAUAUCAACAUGAAGAGUAAAAAAAAGGAGAAACAAAUAUGCAAAUCAUACAUUAUUGAAUGAACAAAGCAUAUAAGCAAACAACAAGCAAUUCUUUCAAUUAAGCAUAUCACACAUUAUCACCAUGCUUAAUAUCAAAUAAAAGUUCUAUAAAACAUAAGACAUGUCAAUGGCAUGCACUCAAUAAUAGAGCAAUGAGAGUAUACGAUGGAUACCAAUAUGAGUGUGAUGUGAUAAAGGUGAUCAUGACAUAUUCAUACAAAUUUAUAGCAAAUGAAAGAUUAAUUAAAUAUGUCAUGGCAAAAUGGUAACUAAUGAUAUAUCAAAUUAAUGCAAGAUACCAUUUAAAGAAAUCCUAAGUCCUAAGCCUAAGUCUAAUACCAAAACAUUGAGUACUAGUCUUAGGUUGAAUCUUAAGCUUAAUUCUAUACCUAAUUCUAAGACUAGUCCUAAGUUUAACCUUAAGCCUUUCUAAAGCUAGUCCUAAAGGCUAAUUCUUAUCAUAAGUUUAAUCCUACGAAAAUAUACUAGUGCUAAAGUAUGUACAAGCACCUUAUAUAAAACUUAAGGUGAUGGGGGUAAUCAAAGCUUAAAAAGAGAGUUUAGAAGCUUUAUUUUUUGGAAAAUGAUCAUCAGAGGUUCAAAAUAAGAUAAAAACAUUUUUGAUAAUCUUGAACAUUUUGCAUAAGGUUUAAGAGAUAAAAUAAGGAUGUUCAAAUGAUCUUAUGGCCUUAAUUUUAAGAAAUUCAACAUAUUUUUAGGACUUAUAUGUUCUUAAAAAGUCAAAUAAAUUUCAAUAAAGAUCACUAAAAUACAAAGUAAUUUCAAUUUCAUAAAGAAUAAUAGCUUAAGAUACCCCCAUAAAUAUAUGCAUAAGUAUGACCCCGUUAUACACCCUUAUAUGCACCUAGGAACUUAAAACUGCUCAAGGGCCAUAGGUAUCAAUGCCUUCCCCGCAAGUAUUAAUACUUAAUGAACAAUUGGUCAUUUUAUGGGGAGGGGUACUGAUACCUCAUGAACAUGCACCAAUACUUUGCACUAAAAAUGCAGAAAAAUGCAAUUUCAACAUGCCAAAAUUUCUAUACAAAGGUGUAACCUCCCCAACCUAGUUUAAACGUUACGACCAAAUUAUGAAGACUACAUUAGCCAACGAAAUGACUAAGUUAACCUACAAACCAAAGAAAAACUCUAAUUUGACUCGUUUAAGAAAAACCACGAUUUGAUCCUUAAGCCAGUUUGAAAAUAUUAAUUUAACAAACCAUCUAUAGUUAAGAUUCUUUUUAUUAUUAAUAGCAAUUUUUUAUAGAAAACCUUUCGUUCAUCGCUUUGCUUUGCAAAAAUAAGUUGGCUUUCAGUGCAGCAGAAAAUCAUUGUUCAUGUCAGAUUUUAAUGAAGUCACGUAAAAUGCAUUUACUAGUUAACAUUUAUAAUCACUAUGUCUAAAUAAUGCAUGCAUAUAACCCAAACCAAAAACCACAAACCAUAAUCCAAAAUAAUAAUUUACAGCCCAAAACCUAGAUAAAUACUUGUUAAUAAUUAUUAAAACCAAAAUAUCCUGAAGUCCAUGUAAUUUCCGCAUACUGGGUUCGAUCUUAGUCUCGAGCAUUACCUGAGAUGUUAAGAUUAGCGGAUGAGCUUAAAAUAGUUCAGUGUGAGUAAAUAUCAAUUCAAUCAUUCAAGCAGUCAUACAAAUAACAAUCAAUAAUUCUAUUACAGUACAAUAUAUAACAUAUUUCAAUAUAUAUAUGGAUAUGUCAUGAGCGUGAUGCAAUGCAGAAAGGUUCCUACCCAUCCAUCCGCUAUACACCAUGAGUUUCCUAGAACUCGUUUGCCGAACACCAAACAAUAUGAGCUGAAGCUUGAUGUUGGUAAACCAUUAGUGCAGUAGUGUAGAUAAAUUACCAAUAAAUAUGCAAACAAGCUGUCAGUAUCGUAGACAAGCCACCAAAAACGGUAAUUGCAGUUAAACUACCAAUAGUGUGGACAAGCCACUAGUAAUGCAUAUAAGUCGCCAAUAAUGUGAUAAAAUUGCUAAUCUCUUCGGUAUCCUUGUGUAGUGCAUUGACAACAAUAUUGCGAACUUUAACUACCACCGAUACUCCACGUAACUCCUUCGUCAAUCCCAAUAACCUACCUCAUGCAUAUGUAACAUGACAUACAAUCAUUAAGCAAAAUCAUGCUUUCAAUUUAGUUUUGGUACAAUUGCAUGUUUUAUAUGUUUACAGUAACAUAUUCAAUACAAUGGCAUGCUCAACAUGCUUAUGGUAAUAGUUUCAGUACAUGAAUUCUAUGCUUUCAGUCAAUUAGUAACCAUGGAAUCAAUAGUAUGCAAUAUACAUACAAUGAGCAUCAUAAUCAAGCAUACUUAAUAUGCAAUCAAUCAGUGACUUGAUGAGUUGCAUGCCAUAAAAACACUCAAUAAAUAGUAGCAAUCCAUAACAUGUGAAUACAAUGUACAUCAAUAUUAGGCAUGCAAUCAAUAAAUCAAACAUGUUAAAUUUUAUAUGGCUCAUCACUAGGUUAAUUGUAGAUUACGUACCUUGUUCUACAUCGUUUAAUUUGCUUAUUUGGCCACUUGACCAUGCCCAACCAGCAAGCAUAAAUUACCAAAUUAACAGUUAAUUUAAAGUAUCAAAAUCAAUUAUUUAAAGUUAAGACCCACCUCUUAUUUCACAACUCGCAGCACUACUCUGUAAAAAUCCACACUUCCGCACCUUUAACCUUAAAUGAACACUGAUACUGAAAUAAUGCCAAGUGGGAGUGCGAAUAGGUUCCGACUUUAAUGCUGAUUCAGGAUGUUACAAUCAACACCUACGAUCAAUUUUAUAUAAAAAAUCAAUAGCUAAAACAAUUAAUAAAUCCUUAGAAUAAUCGGCCAAAUCAGCAUCUUUAAAAAAAAUCAAUACGACACUAAAUCUCACUAGCUGUCGCACUUACGCUACUUGUUAACUACUUUCGAUUUGCCGGAUGAAGGGAAUCGAAUGUAUUUAAAAAUGACACAUUUAAAUUCUGAUUAGAGAAGUGGAAUAACAAUUUUUAUUUGCUGGAAAGAGGCGGCUAAAAAGAGACAAACAAUAGCUCCAAAGUGGUGUUUAAAAAGGUGGCACACCACCAUGCACGGCACACAAGAGGGUUGCUUUGGGCAGCACAAUGAGGGAAUUUUAAGGGUUGAUUAGGGACAAUAUAAAGUUAGAAAAAGAAAAUAAAGGAAAAGAGGGUUGGAAAUAGCAAUACAAGUCAGUAUUUCAAAAGCAUAAAUCAACAACCACAAAAAGGGUUUUAAGGGGUAGCAAAAACCCCCAACGACAUCAGCUUAUGUGGCUGUCUUGAGAAGGUUUAAGGGAAUAUUUAAGGGCUGUAUAAAGGAAGAGGAAAAUAAAAAGAGAAAUCAACAUUUACACAAUGAGAAGAAAGGGGUGACAAUGUUAAUUCAAAGACAGCAAAGUGAGCACUUUUUGAUUGAUUAAAAACAACAAAUUAAAGGCUGGAAAAAUGGUGAAAAACGGCAGCAAAAUGAUGAGGAAACGAACUACAAACCACUACCAAGUAUUCUUGUCAAUAUUCAUUCUUGUCAUAAUUUUACAAAUUUAAAAUUAAGAAUUUUAGAUGUUACAAAAGGUUCCUAAAGCUUAUACAAAGUAUUCUAACAUAUGUAUGAUCCUACACCAAGUAUAAACAGACAAAAACAACAAUACAAACAUGCUUGAAUUAGAGAAUCACUAGGUGACUACUUUGUGUGAUAAAAAAACAUGUUAAGCCAAAGUAUUACGUGUCCUAAAAUGUUCAAAUAAGGCACACAUACUUAGAAAAUAGCACAUUAAGCACAAGUCACAUAUUUCAAACAUAUUUAUAUACAAAAGUAACUAUAUGCAACUUAUAUGAUCCUAAAACUACCUAUUAACACUAAUUUACACUAGAAUGUACACUAUAUACAAGGAUUAAACAAAGCUGAACUUUAAGAUCUUUAAAACUCAUUUUUGCAUUGAACAUGGCCAUUGAGAUAGUUAAAACAUAAUAAACACAUUUUUAAUUAACUUGAAAUUCUCAAACAACUUUCAAACAAUGAACCAAAAAUGCUCAAGUGACGACAUUACCUUAAUAACAAUGAAAUAUAAAUUUCAAAAUUUGAAAGCUCAUAUUUCUUUGAAUUUGGACUCAUAAUGGAAAAAUAUGUAGGAAUAUCAUUUUUAGUCCUUUUGAACAAUUUACUAAAGUUUCAUGACACAUUUUAAGUAUGACUAAAUGGUUUCAAUAUCCAUAACUCAUCAAAAUCAAAAUUUUAUAAUUUAAGCUCUAAAAAUCUUACAAACUUACAUUCAAAACAUCACAUAUCAUAUUAUUACAAGUUUGUCCAAUUUUUAUCUAAGCAAGAUAAAAAAACAAAAUUUCUUAAAAUGUUCAAUUCAUUUUCUCAUUCAUAAGUUAACUGUCCAAACAAAUUUCAAUAAUUUUAGCAUUUUAUUUGCAAAAUUGAUUUUUCAACUUUAAACAACAAAAAGUUAUUAAACUUUGUAUGCUCCUCCUAGGAUGUGUAAAUGGAUAAGACAUGUCCUAUCUAGCAUGCAUCCUAAGUACAAUUUCAAACAUGAUUUCAUUAAGAAAACCAGUUAAACCAAAAAUCAGUUAAACCAAAAAUCAUGCUAAAAAAAUCAAUAAUAAAUAGCCAACCGAUAACACAUAUUUGAUAAGAUAAAGGCAUAAAAGUUACCUAUCAUUCAUUUGUAUGCCAUGAGUACCCAAAAUUUUUUUGUUGGUUCCUUAUUGCUCAAAUGCACCAACAAGAGACACUUCAUUUGGAUUUUGGUACCCAAUUUGCAUUGGUUCCUUGAACAUAAGUAACAAGGUCUUUUAUUCCCUUUCUUAAUAGAGCAAGUAUAUAUAGAAUGACCAUAGAAAUGAAAAUGUUCACACAUUAGUAACAAUAUUCACACUUUUUCGUGUGACACACAUGACCUGGCAAAACGACCAUGUGUCACCUGAGAGUUUUUUAGUGUUUUAAGUCAAUGAGUUACACGGCCUGACAUACGGAUGAGUGUGACAAUUCAGAGAGUUACACGGCCUGGUACAUGGGUGACGAAACAGGUUGAGACACGACCGUGUACCCCUUGUUCGAAAGUUACACCACUUGGGGUGAUGACACACGGCCGUGUGACCCCUAUUUUUAAAUUUUAUAACUUUUUCCCAAACUUUCUAAUUUGUUUCAAAUUAGUCUCGAAUUGCUUCAAAGGUAUUUUUAGAGCCUCUAAGGCUCAAUUUAGGGACAAAAUUCAUGUGAAUGAAUGGUUUAUAAUAUGUUUAGUUUAUUUAAAUUUUAUGAUGUUGUAUGAUUUCUAGUUGAAUGGUAAUACUCCGUAACUCUAAAUCGGCGACAGAGACGGGUUAGGGGUGUUACUAUCCAGCAAUUAAUUCGGUAAUUUUUGAUUAUUUUGGCCAAGAUUAAUAAUGGCAUGUAUAGGAUCUUGUAAUGGAUGUUUUAGUAUGUUUAAGCUUUUGAAGUUAUGGUUGAUUUGGUGAACUUUAGUGCAUUAUCAAGAUAUGUCAUAUUGGUCAAUUCAAGUGCUUAUAUAUAAUGUCCUUUUUGGUAUGUAUGUAAUGGUUUGUGAAUGGUCAUUUAUUAUGACAUGUAGUGAUUAAAUGAAAUAGGUUUCCAUGAUAGGAAAAUGGCAAUAUUGAUUUAUUUAGGUAAGUGAUGUUUUUGACAUAUUGUAGUGCCUUUGAAUGGCAUAUUGGUUAGUUGAUGUUUGGAAUAGCAUAUUUAGGAUGUUUGAUAUGGUAUGUUUUUGUGCAUUUGGAUGGUGUUUGAAUCCCUUAAAUGUGUGUUCAAAUAGUUUAAAUGGUUAGGUAUGAAUUGAACUUGAAAUUGCAUGAUUUUAGGUAAAAUUUUGGAUUCACACAACUUGAGACAUGGGCUAUCACACGGUCGUGUGUCAUUUGUAAAACCCUAUUGUUUCAAAUCAGUGAGUUACACGACCUAGCACAUGACCUGGCAUACGGGUGUACGUGGCAACUCAGAAAGUUACACGGCUUGGCAUAUGGACAUGUGAUAUGGCCGUGUGACUCUACUCAGUAAGUUACAUUAGUGAGAACACAGGCUGGGACACAGCUGUGUGUCCUUUUGUUUGAACGUUACACAGCUCACACGAAUUUGUGUCUUCUGUUUUCCAAUUUUUGUAACCAUUUCUUAAACUUCCCAUUUUAUUUCAAUAUAGUUCCAAAUUGCUUUUAAGCUAUUUUUAGGGCCUUGAAGGCUCAGUUUAGGGACAAAAAUGUAUAUGAAUGGUUUAUAAUAUGUUUGGUUUAUUUAAAUGUUAUGAUGUUAAAUUUUUUAUGAUUGUACGAUAAUACUCCGUAACCUUAAUCCGGUGACAGAGAAGAGUUAAGGGUGUUACAGAGCAGUUUAAUAAUUUGCCAGCUCUGGUGGCUAAGCCAUAAAUAUUUCUAAUUUUGGCAAUUUAUUGCAUUAUGAUUUGACAGCUAGGCUGUAAUUAUUCUGAAACGUGACAUACAGUCGCUACGUAGUGUGUGGGGAUGGAUAGGUACUUGAUGAUUUAUAUGGUGUGUCGGGAUGGACAGAGAUGGUACGUAAUAGUUUGGGGUAGGAAUAUGCAUCUGUAUCUGAUAUUCUUUGUUUCUGUUUCUGCAGCUAAUUCUAAGAAAUGGUUGAUCUAUAAAAACUGAGAUUUCAUCCGUAUAUUACUGAUUACUAUUGAAUGUAAGUUGCACAUACACUGAGUUGUAAACUUAUUUGAUCUAUUUUUCUAAAUUUUAGGUAACCCACAGACUGAGGCGAGUUAGUGUGGCAGGAGCUUGAUUAUCUUUUUAUUUAUUACUUAAUGUCUUAUCUGGAUUUAUACUAUUAGUUGCAUUUUGGAUUUUAGAUUAUAAUUUGGGUUUUUACGUUGUUUUAAUUAUAUAAAUCAUUUCAACUAUUAAAUUUUAAAUAAUUAAGUUUGGUUUAUGGUUGAUGGUUUGAUGUAGCCUCCAAACUUAGUCUUAGCAUCUUGGCUGGGUAUAGGGUGUUACAUUUAAUGGUAUUAGAGCUAGGUUUACAAAACUCAGACUAUUUGUGUUAAAAUGAUUUUUGAAUGAAAACUUUAAUUGAGUAACUCUAAAAAUUGAUUUUAUAAAAGACCGAGUUUUCGGCGCCGAACUUGUAAGUACUUCUGCUUUAGCUAUAUUAUUUAACCAGAAAUACAAUAACUAAGGAACUCAUGGUUUUAGUUAGAGAUUGUGAUAUGAACUUUGAACUAAGAUAUUUGAUGAGAAUUUUGAACUGAUCUGUGAUCUUUCGGCAUAAUAGAUAAGUUGAGAUAAUGAAUUCACGUGGUAGUCGUGGACAUUGUUCUCGUAGACGUUACGAGCAUUGAGGAGGAGCUGAAGCAGAAUCAUCCAUUAUGGGCAGUAUGCCUAAUCUGGAGACCAGUGAGAGUAUUGGUACUCUUAUUGUUGAGAUUGGGUCUUAGACUUUGAUAGCUGGGGAUAACGUACUGUCUCAGGCUAUGCUGCGUAUUUUAGAUAGGGUCGUUGGGACCCAUUCUAGAUCUAGGGGCUGAGGGUCGGUUACUAAAUGACUCCGAUCGAAUGAUGUUGAGUUGUUUAGAAGUGUCAUUAGAGUCGCCCCUAUAGUGGUCGAAUUCUGGUUAGAGGCCACCGAACGUAUUAUGAAUGACACCGAUCGCACUCUCACACCUAAAUUAAGUGGUGCCGUAUCUCUACUUCGAGAUAAGGCUUACUGAUGGUGGUUGACAGUUGAGCAAAGCAUCCAGCCCGAACAAGUUAUGUGGGAUUUCUUCAAGAACGCCUUUAAUAAUGUAGGGGAAAGUUUUGUGGAGGUUUGUAGAUGCAAGUUUAUAAGCUUGGUUUAGGGUGAAAGGUCUGUGGCCGAGUUUUUAAGAUUAGGCAAGUACGCUUCCUGUGUAGUUCUGAAUGAAUAUGAGAGGAGUAUUCUGUUCAAGAAGGGAUUGAUGUAUGACCUGAGAGUUUUGGUAGCUCUUUAGAGGGAGCGGGUUUUUGUAGCCUUAGUUAUCAAUGUGAAGAUGACUAAGGAGGUGAAGCGUACUGAGCGAGAGAGGAGAACCGGGAGAAAGGAGAACCGGGAGAGAGGUCGGAGUAACCUUAAGAGAGAUUCAAGUGCUUCUAGUUCUGUUUAACGCCCAGGAAAUGGGCUAGAUUUGAUGGGCCUCUGAGGACUAAGGCUCAAGCUGUAUCGACUAAGAUUUAGAACUAUAAUGAUUGUGGGAGACGCCAUCUAAGUGAGUGUUGGAGGAACUUAGGGGCUUGUCUUUAGUAUGGAUCGAUGGAGCAUUGUGUUUGGGACUAUCCCCAUUGAUCUGAUCAGGUGCAAGCUUCUGCAUAGGCUCUAGCUCUAGGUUCCGUUUAGUCAUUGAGAGCAGUCCAGUAGCCACUUAAGGGCUAUGGUAUGAUCAAGGAUGGUAAUGGUUCUGGCUGAGGUCAAAGAGCACCGAGCAAAGGUGUAGGUCAGAUUGAGACACGAUAGUCUGCCUUUGUGUAUAUGGUGAGACAUCGUGAGGACAGAGACGACACCGAUGUUAUAGUAGGUACGUUCUUUAUUUACUUUGUUCUGUAUUUUACUCUGAUAGAUAUUGGUUCUACUCACUUGUAUUUAGCUAGCACUGUUUCUGUGAAAUUGGGUAUAUUUGUUGUGAAUACUACUAGAAAGAUUUCUGUAAUUAGUCCUUUGGGUCAAUCGAUCCAAGUUGAUAAAGUACGUAGAAAGGUUCCGUUAGAGAUUCAAUGUGUUGUGUUUCUGACUAACCUGAUAGAAUUUUCGUUUGAAGAGUUUGGUCUGAUUUUGAUAAUGGAUAGACUCGUGGAACAUCGAGCCAAUUUAGAUUGUGUCUUUAAGAGGGUUACUCUGUAAUCGAAUGAGAAUAUUGAGAUCGUUAUUAUAACACCCCUACCCGUAUUCAUUGCCGGAAUAGGGUACGAGGCAUUACCGGAGUUUACUGAACAUUUUCAGAUAAUUUUGAGUCAUUUAUUAUUCAUAUUUUGAAAUAAUCAUAACGUCUCUCUAUUAGGCUCUCGAAGCCCAAAACAAACAUUAGAAACCAACUGGAAUAAAAUCGAGAUCAUAAAAAUUUUCGCAAAAUCUUAAAUUAUAUUUUCAUCCAAGUACUUACCAUUUCAAUGCUCCUUAUAAUUAAACAUGUUACCAUUCAAUCAAUAGCUUGGCACUUGUCUAAGCGUCAAACAACAACAUUAUUAGUAUACUUGCACAUAUUUCAUAUAAAUUCAACAUUGAUAUACCUAUUUUUUCAACAUAUCACACUUGAAUUUAAUAAUAGUCUCAGCUUACAUAAUUUCCUUGUAUCAACAUAUCAAAGAUAAUUAUAUAUGUACAUGUCACAAAAUAUAUUAUUCUCUUACUGUUUCUUCAUAAGCAUAUAUCAUUCAUUUCGUUAUGUCAAUAUUUCAUGCACCAUCAUUUCCUUAUAUCUUGUAUAUAUUUAUUUCGGUAAUAGUUCGUAUUAAACUUAACAUAAAUUAAAUUCCAUGUACCCAUACUUAUUUCAUUUAUCUAUCUUCUUUAUUAUUUCAUACAACUAUUUUGUACAUAUAUUUCCAUAUGACCAAUUCCUGUAAACAUUUCACACAACCAUUUCAUAUAACCAUUCCAUCUUAUACAUAUUACCUAAAUAUCGAUUGUUCAAUAGAUAUCUUGGCGUUUCUCUUCCUCGGUCUUAUUUAUCUUCGACAUGAUGUCAUAGUAUCUUUCAGCUAUGGUUUUACUCAUUUUCUGUCAUGUUGCCAUGGUAUCUUUCAACCAUGGUCUUAUUCAUUUUCCCGUCAUGGUGCCAUGGUAUCUUUCAACCAUGGUCUUACUCAUUUCAUGUCAGGUUGCCAUGGUAUCUUUCAACCAUGGUCUUAUUCAUUUCAUAUCACGUUGCCAUGGUAUCUUUCAACCAUGGUCUUACACAUUUCAUAUCAGGUUGCCAUGGUAUCUUUCAACCAUGGUCUUACACAUUCCAUAUCACGUUGCCAUGGUAUCUUUCAACCAUGGUCUUACACAUUCUAUAUCACGUUGCCAUGGUAUCUUUCAACCAUGGUCUUACACAUUCCAUAUCAGGUUGCCAUGGUAUCUUUCAACCAUGGUCUUACACAUUCCAUAUCAGAUAGCACACUCCCACGAACCUCAUCCUUACAGUGGGAUUACCAAUUCAGGCUAAAUCCCCUGUAAUAUAAACUCAUAGAGUAUUGUCAGGAUUACCAGCCCAGGCUAAAUCCCCUACAAUGACAAUUACUCUAAUGAGCUUGGAUCUGAAUUACCAGUCCAGGCUAAAUUCAGACCCUAAUUCGGAUUACCCGUCCGGGCUAAAUCCAUUUUCCACAUAUUCUUCAGGAGGGCUAUAUCAGGAUAGGAUCACCCGUCUGGGCUAGAUCCUUUUUACCGUCAAUUCCUUUUCAGAGAUCCAUCGAAUUUUCCUUCCAUUCAAUCGUGAUUUUUUUCCCUUUUUUUUCAAAUAUAUCAAUGUUUCAUAAAUUUCCAUAUAAUGAACAUUCAAAUCAUAUUCAUAUAAAAAAACAUGCAUUUCAAGCAUUUAAGAAUAUAAUUCAAGUUACACGAACUUACUUGGCGAAAUUGCAAAAAUAUCAAGAUUAAGGGGCAUUUUGGUAAUUUACCAUUUUCUCAAUUUUCACCCGAUCUUAAAUUGAAAAUUUCAUUCAAUUAUUAAUUUAGAUAAUUAAAAAAUUCAUUUCCUUCAAUUAGGUCAUUUUAAACAUUUUUACAAAAUUACCCCCUGAAGUUUUACUUUUAUUCAAUUCAGUCCUUAAACCUAAAACAUGCAAAUUAGCCAUGCUAGCUGGAUAUUCAUAUAUAUUUAAAAACACAUCAUUUGUGUGGUCUAAUGAGUAGAAAGUGAGCUUUUAAAAGCUCAAGUCCGUUCUGACUCAGACACCUGUUCUGAUACAACCUCAAUAUGGUAGAGAGUUUGUCAUGUACAGCGAUGCUUCGUAUGUCGGGUUAGGUUGUAUUUUGAUGUAAAAUGGUAAGGUUGUGGCUUACGAAUCUCGACAGCUUAAAUCAAACGAGGGCAAGAAUCCCACGUAUGACUUUAAGUUGGUUGUAGUGGUCUUCGCUCUGAAAAUCUAGAGGCACUAUUAAUCUAUCAUAAUUCGGUGUAGCAAAUUAAACUAGUUUUCCCACUUAAGGAGCCUAAAUACAAGCAUUCUCAUUACAUUUUAGAUAAAUUUCUAUAGUUUUCCUUACAAUCAAUAAAAUAUACAAAUUGAGUCUUUUAUUAAUCUUUAGGGUCGAAUGAGGCCUAAAGGAAAGUAACAUACUUUGUGGGUGUGUAGGACAUCAUUAGAAGACAUUUUAGGUUGGUACUGGACAUUAUGUCACAACACGGGAGGUCUGUGUCACAACAUAGGGAACAAAAUGAAGAGAAAUCAAGUCUACCUUCGAUGGGUGUCGUGACAUACCCUUUAAGAUGGCUACAGAGGAGCAUACUGGUUGCUAUGUCACGACACAGGUCUUGGUGUGUCGCGACAUCGACUCUGGGACAAAAUUUAAACAUGAAGUAAGGGUAUUUUGGUUUACACAAUCAAACUUAAAGCUUAGGAAUGUCAGCUAACCUAGGGUUAAGGGCGACAGCAACCUAAAGGCUAUAAAUAGGUUUAUUUGGCACAUGUUAUAGACACCUUUCCAUGAACCUAGUUUCUCUCUUUAGAUUUAGCUUCGUUUUUUUUCUUUCUUAGGUUUUCUAGAGUUCAGUUUAUUUGUUUGUCAUUUUCUUUCAAGAUAUAUGGAUUGUGGAAUUAUUAAAACUCUGUAAAUUUGUACUUAAUCUCAAUACAAUUGGGCUCUUUCAUUUACUCUAUCUUUUCAAUUUAAUUAGCAUACCUUCUCUUUACAUCGAAUAUAUAUUGUUUAUGAACACCAUGAGGAACUAAUCCCUCUAUGAGGGAUUAGCGAGUGAAUGUAUGAUUUGUUAACUAUUUUCUAGGGUUACUCAACAGAUUAAUUGUUUGAGAAAGUGAGAACGUGAAAUAAACCCUAGGCCGAACAACCCUGGAAAGUUAUCAAGGUGGAAAUUAACCCAAAAUUUGUAUUGCCCAUCUGUGAAUACCUUAACCCCAAACUAGUCUGGAUUAUGAGAUCAAAAAAUAAGUAGUUCUUACUGACUCAUUAUGUUAGUGGGAGAUCAGAAGAUCCUGCUAGGGUAGCAAUUAGUUGAUUGACGAGGAACCCAAAAAGACAGUUAAUGGAGAUUACCAAAGCGAACUAACUACCGAUAAUCAGAUUUGAUUUAUUCUUCCUUUUUAAUCUUUUGGAUUUUAUAUUUUUAUAUUAUUUUAUUAUCAUAAAAACCUCAAAAAUAUUUUAUAAUAUUCUUUGUACUACAACUAAAUCUAAAGUAUUAAUUAGAUAUCUUAGUGUUUAGGUUAGAAUUGAUCUAGUAAUUACCUCAUUUGGGUACGACCCUCGGAGUACUCACACACUCUAUUGUAAAACUAUAUUAGAACUAGACCCAUAUACUUGCGGAUACUGCCUCGUAAUUCUAUAUUUUAGUACAGUAUUUACACUCUGAACGUUAGUAUGUCUAGAGGCGGUCAACUAUUUGUAUGGUGAGAGGUGUAUCAUUUACACCGAUAAUAAGAGUUUUAAGUAUCUUUUAACUUAGAAGGAGUUGAACCUUAGGUAACGUAGAUGGGUUGAGUUGCUUAAGAAUUAUGACUGCACGAUUGAGUAUCAUCCUGGUAAGGCAAACGUUGUGGCCGGUGCUAUUAGUCGUAGAGUGGUGACUGAUCUGAGAGUGAUGUUUGCUCGCUUGAGUUUGUUUGAUGACGGUAGUCUACUGACUGAGUUACAGGUUAAAUUGAAUUAGGUUGAUUAGAUUCGAACUAAAUAAUUGAGUGAUGAGUCUCUAGUUUCUCGUUUUCAUCAGAUUAAGAAUGGUGGAACUUUUAAUUUCGGAUUAAACAACAAUGGGGUUUUGUGUUUCGAGAGUCAAAUCUAUGUGUCUAAUGAUGUUAAGUUGAGGUAGUCGAUUUUGUGGGAAGCGCAUCGUUGUGCUUAUGUUAUGCAUCUUAAUGAGAAUAAAAUAUAUAGGGAUCUCCGAGAAUUAUACUAGUGACCUGGUUUAAAAUGAGAAUAAAAUAUAUAGGGAUCUCCGAGAAUAUAUAGGGAUCUCAGUGUUUGACAUGUUAGAAGGUUAAAGCUGAGAAUCAGUUACCUUUAAGUCUGUUACAACCGGUUAAGAUUCCCUUUUAGAAGUGGAAGCGUGUGAAUAUAGACUUCGUUAGUGGAUUGCCUUUGACACCCACUAAUAAGGAUUCGGUUUGGGUCAUUGUUGAUUGAUUGACUAAAUCUACUCACUUUCUUUCGAUCAAGAUGGAUUAUUCACUUGAGAAAUUGACUAAGUUGUAUGUCUCCAAAAUUGUAAGAUUGAAUAGAGUUCCAGUUUCAAUCAUUUUUUUACAAAGACCCACGUUUUACAUCUCGAUUUUGGAAGAAGCUUCACAAGGCUUUGGGUACCCGAUUAGAUUUCAGUACUGCAUAUUAUCCUUAGACCGAUGGAUAAUCUAAGCGAGUUAUUCAGAUUCUAGAGGAUAUGCUACGAAGUUGUGUAAUCAAUUUCUGAGGUAGUUAGGAGGAGUAUUUGCCACUAGUUGAGUUUACGCAUAAUAACAGCUUUCAGGCUAGCAUUUAGAUGGAACCUUAUAAGGAUUUGUUUGGCCGUAAGUAUCGUACUCCUUUGUGUUAGAUUGAGUUAGGUGAAUGUCAGGUUCUAGGUCUUGAGCUAGUAUCUGAAACUUAGAAUAUGGUUAGAUUGAUUCAAGACCGUCUUAAGGCAGCUUCCGACCAACAAAAAUUCUAUGCAAAUUUGAAAAGAUGAGAUAUUGAGUAUUCUGUGAGUGAUCAAGUAUUUCUGAAAGUUUUUCCGUGGAAAAAGGAUCUCUAGUUCAAACGUAAGGGCAAGUUGAGCCCAAGGUUCAUUGGACCUUAUCGUAUUCUAAAAUGUAUCAGACCUAUUUCAUAUUAGCUAGAGCUACCUCCUGAGUUGGAUCAAAUUCAUGAUGCGUUCCAUGUCUCUAUGUUGAGACGAUAUCGGUCUGGUCCAUCUCAUAUUGUUCCUGUUGAAGAGAUUGAGGUACAAUCGUAUCUGACUUUUAAAAAGGAGCCUGUUCAGAUUUUGGAUCCAGAUGUCAAGGUUCUGAGAAGGAAAAAUAUUCCUUUGGUUAAGGUUCUGUGGUGGAAUCAUGACAUUAAAGAAGCCAUUUGGGAACUUGAGGAUUCAAUUCGCCAGUAAUAUCCUUAUUUGUUUGAGUCAGGUAAAAAUCGAGGCAUAAAUUUCUUUUAGGGGGAGAGAGUUGUAACGCCCCAAAAAUUUGAGUGUUGUUUGCUAAAUUUUGUCAUAAUCAAUUCUCUAGAUUUUUGGUUAAGUGCUUUGUUUGCAUAUUAGAGGUCAGGGGGUUAAACCUCAUUUUUGGAAAUUUUGUUAUUUUGUUAGACUUGACCUUUAGUGUUAAAUGUUUGACUUUAGUUUAUUUCGGCGUUAAUCUGUGUCAAGAAUGAGCCUGUUAGUUUGAUGUUAAGUUUCUGUAUACCUUCUGGUCCUGUGUUUGAAUAUUUGUGCAUGCAUUAAGAAAAUAUUUUUUAUGCUACUUGGUAAAAGCCUAUUAGUUUUUGUUAUUUUAAAAACCAUUUCUUUAACUUUUUUUUCCUUUUCUUCUUUCUUCCUUCUUCACCUUUCUUUUUUUUUCUUUUUGCUUUCUUCCGUAAACUAUUACUGGGUUUAAUUGGGAAUUCUGCGUUGUUCAUUGCAUCAUUCGAAAGGAUGUUGCGUAAGUUCUGUCAUUUUUCUCUUUUGUUUUCGCAAAAUUUAUUUGUUGCUUUUCGAAGUUAGAAAUUAUUGUUGUUUGUCUAAAUUUUUGUUAAUUUUGAGAUUAGGGUUUUGUUAGACAAAGGUCUUGCGGGAAACGUUCCUCCAGUAUUCUAAGUUGAAGUAAUUGUUAUGGAUUCAAAAAUAAGUGUUAGUUUGCUAUGGAGGUUUGCAUCGAAGUCUUUGACAUGUUGGGUUGAUUGUUGUUCUUAUGCGAAUUGUUUGUUUAAGUCAUUGAUUGAACUUCUGGUUGUCAUUUUUAGGCUUUGGAAUCACUUCUGUUGCUUCUGUGUUGAAUCCGUAUCAAGUGUGUAACGAAAACCCGAUUUUUUACGAAUUUCGACGCCAAAAAAUAUGGCUCCCGACGCUAUACAGUCGUAUGGCAGGUCGUGUAACUUACUGUUUUUUAUUUAAGGUUAGACGGGUUAGGGACACGGGUGUGUUUCCUAGCUGUGUAACUUAUUGUUUUGGAUUUAAGGUCAUACGGGCGUGUGUCCAGGCCGUGUAACUCACUAUUUUGAAUUUAGGAUCACAUAGGCCAGGGACAUAUACGUGUGUCUAGGCCGUAUGACGAGUUGUAAGUCACAUGAGUGUGUGCUUGGUCGUGUGCCAGGCCGUGUGACUCACUAUUUUGAGCCACACUGCCGUGUGAUAAGCCGUGUGGACCACACAACCCAGCCACCUAAGUCGUGUGAAUGCACAAGGGCGUGUAGGCUAAAAAUCAAGAUUUUUCCCUAGGGUCGUAAUCGUCAUCCGAAUUGAAUGUAGGCCUACUGUAGGGUUCGUAUAAUCUAAAUUAAACAUUGAAAUUGUUAUCUGACAAUCUGUUACUGAAUAAUAUAUUAUUCUGAUAUAUGUAUAUACACUUGUUAUGAGAUCUGAUACAUAAGUGUGAUAGCACUACAUGAGCAUAAUAUGAAAUUGCAUUAUUGUGUACUUAUAUCUGGUACCUGUUAAAUCUGCAUCUGUAUCGGGAUUGGGUUUGUAUAAAAAAGAAAGUGUGAGCAGCUCAAUAAUUUGCCAACUCUGGUGGUUAAGCCACAAAUAUUUCAAAAUUUGGCAAUUUAUCGCAUUAUAAUCUGGCAACUAGGUUGUAAUUAUUAAUUAUUCUGAAACGUGACAUACAGUCACUACGCAGUGUGUAGGGAUGGAUAGGUACUUGAUGCCCUAUAUGGUAUGUCAGGAUGGAUGGAGAUGGUGUGUAACGGAUGGAGGUAGGAAUCUGCAUCUGUAUCUGAUAUGUUCUGCAUCUGUAUUUGAUAUUCUCUAUUUCUGUUUCCGCAGCUGAUUCUAAGAAAUGGCUAAUCUAUGGAAAGUGAGAUUUCAUCUAUAUAUUACUUAUUCCUAUUAAAUGUAAGUUUCAUGCACAUUGAGUUGUAAACUCAUUUGGUUUGUUUGUCUGAAUUUCAGGUAACCUAUAAACUGAGGCGGGUCAGCGUGGCAGAAGCUUGGUCUUAACGUUUAGGCCGAGUAUGGGGUGUUACAUAGUGUGCGCUUCUCCUAGAUCUGGUCAAAAGAUUUUGCAACUAGAAAUAUACAGGAAAAAGGGAAAACAACAAGGUAAGCAUUUCGAAUUCUUAGUAAGUUUGUAAUAGCCCAUUUUUUUCAGUGUUGUCAGAAAUAAUGGUUUCAAGACCACAAUUUCGAUGAGAAAGUCCGUAGAUAUAUUUAAUUAAUAUUAUGAGUUAAAUAUAGUAUAAUAGUGAAUCAGAUUUAAUAGACUUUAUUAAUUGAUCAAUUAGUUAAGGUACAAGUGGUAAGUACCGAAAGUCAAGUGAUUUUGGGAAAUGAGGUAUCAGGAUCUCAUUUUCAUGAACUGAGCCUGUAAAUAUUAUUGUUAAAUAUUUAAGGAGUUGUUAUUUUAGUGGGUUGAAGUUUGGUCUGGAAAUUUUGAUGAUUUGAUGGUUAAUUAAGGAAAAAUGACUAAAUCAUAAAAAUCGUAAAAGUUGAUUACUAUUGAAUUUUAUUGAUUAAACUGUUUAAAUAGUAAUUUUUUUAGCAUUAGAAUGGAAAUUAUUCCAUAAUGGUUUAUAGUGGACAGGUAUUGUUUGUUAUUAUAGUAAAUAAAAUAAAAUUAAAGUUAAAGUUAUAUUAAAAUAUAAUAAAACAUAAACUAAACUUAUCAUCUCUUUCAGUUGGUCAUCUUCACUGUUGGGAAUAAGAAAUAGAAGAGGAAGCCAUUUUUGAAUGCUUAAACAAUUUGUCUUCUUGCAUGGUAAGCAAAUCAAUUCUGUUUCUUGUAAUUUUUAUAUUUUUGAGAUUGUUAUAAUUAGGUUCAGUUAACCCGUAUCUCUCUUUUCAAAAUUGUUAAAGAUUUUAAAACUUACCAUUGAUGAAUUUUAGAUGUUUUUGAUAGAAAAUGGUAGAUUUAGAAGCUAUGAAAUGUUUAAGGAUUAUUUGAUACAAUAAUUUUUAUUAAUUUUACAUUUAAGGAUUAAAUUGAAUAAAAUAUAAAAGUUCAAGGAAAUUAUGUAAAAUGAAAUUAAAAGAUUAUAAGCAUGAAUUUGAAUGUUAAUAUGAGAUUGGUAUUGAUAUUUUAAAUCUUAACUAUUGUAUAGAUCAAGUUGUUGACUUAGGCAAUAAAGAGAAAACUACCGAAUAGUCCUUGAUAUGCGUUACCAUUCUGUCAAAUAAGUUCGUACGGUAUAAAUAUGUUUAAUUUGCUGUUAAGUUUAUCUGUAUGUUCAUUAAUGUUUUAUUCGCAAUUUGAAUUGGCUACAAAUUAGUACCUAAAUUAAGAAUUGAAUCAAAUUGAAAUAGAUUGUUGUGAAAUGGUAUAAUGUGAAGUUAAAUCUUGAUGAAAAUAGUGAAAGUCUCGUAUACGAGGUUAUGAGUUUUGCCCAGGUUUCGAGCUUUUACAUAUGUUGUGGACUUGAGAAUACAAGUAUAGGUUCUGAGCUCUAGCAAGUGUUGCGGACUCGAGAAUACAGGUUUAGGUUCCGAGCUCCUGCAUAUGUUGCUGACUUGAGAAUAUAGGAAUAUUAAGCCCUGGCCAAGUUAUUUAUCGUGUAGGUUCAACCCUAACGGGUUGCCAAGCACUAUUAUUUUCACCUAUAUACAAAGUUCUUUUACAAAGUUUCAUCGAGUGGAAUUGUGAUUGAAGUUUUGGAGAUAUUCCAUUUGAGGUUGGCUAAGUAAUGAAUAUGUUUUGGACAUAUGGUAUAAGUUGGUUUGAAAUGAAAAUGAGAACAUUUGAGGUUAUAUAUGUGAUUGAGCUCAAAAUCUUAUAAGUUGAUGUUGUUGUUUGAAUCUUGAUAGGUAUAUUUGAGAUGCUCACAUCUAUUGUCUCUUGAUUCGGUAGACCUUUGAUGUUUUGGAGUUGGUUACUCGUGGCAUGUACAUAGGUUGAAUAAACUUAAGCUAGCUAAAGUUUGUUUUGGUAUAAUAACUUUUUAUAUGUAAAUUUAUGGUUGUGCCUUGAUAUUUGAUGUUUGGUGUUUGCCAAGUUUAGUAUGCUUGAAUGUUAAAGAAAUGUAAUGUUUGAAUGGUACUAAGUAUGUGAAUUGAGUUGUGGUAUGAUAUAGCUUAAGGUUUGGUUUGAAUUGUAUUUGAAUUGAGUUUAUGAAUUGCUGGUGCCAAUGAAGGUAUAUUGGUUGUAUGUUAAAAUGAUUAGGUGAAUUGUUGUUUUGGCAUUGAAAUAUGUAUGUUUUUGUGUUGAUUUGAAUAGCCUGAAAUGGCAUCAUAGGUCACUUGAAGAAUUGGUAUGAAAUCUUGCUUAAAUAGGUCAUUUAUGCUGCACAUGGGCUACCACACGGUUGUAUGUCACACAUGGUUGGAUGACACGAUCAUGUGUUCAACAUGUUUAGGUUGAUUUUGGUUCACAUGACCACAGUUUGUUACAUGGCCCAUCGACACGGUUGUGUGACCCUGGAUUACAUAGCAUCAGGUUGUUGCACGGUUUGGAGACACGGUUGUGUGAUAGCACCACACGGCCCCUGCCUUGUCACACGACCGUGUGACCCAAGUUUAACUUUUUACUUACUUGUCUGUCAAUGUUUCAAAUUAGUCCAGAUUUAAUUCUGAACUUGUUUAAGGGCUUUCAUAAGCUCGAUUGAGACUCGGUUUUGAUUGUAAUGCAUGUUUAACAUGAACUUAACUUUGUAUAUAAUGAUUUAUUGAAUGAUAACGAUUAAAUUGCUUAUGAAUGUUUUGGUUUAUUGUGGUAGCACCCUGUAGCUCGAGUCUAGUGGCUGGACUAGGUAUGGGGUGUUACAAAGUUCAUAGGUAUUUAAAUGAUAAACCUUACGUCAAAUUACAAUCAAACAAAUUAAACUAAUUAUGUAAUAUCUCGAAUUAGGGCCUAAUCGGAAUAGUGUUUUCGUGACCACAAAUCCGAGAUAGAAAUAAUUAUUUUAUAAUUAUUUUGAUGAUUAUGAUAUGAUUGCAUGAUUGUGUGAAAAUUUCGUGAUGAAAUUCUAUGCCUAAAGUGCUUAAAUUGAAAGUAGGGACUAAAUCGAAUAAGUUGCAAAACUUGCAUUCUAGAAGUUUUUAGUAUGAAAUUGCUUUGAAAUAUUUAUUAGGAGGUCUUAAAUAGCAAUUUUACCAAUUUUAAGUUCAUGGGCAAAAUUAGGACAUGGAAGGAAUUUUUGAAAGUUUAGUGAGGAGGGGGCAUUUUGGUCAUUUUGAUAUUAAAUGAAAUAAAAUGGGAAAAAUAACACAAAAUAGUCAUCUUCCCCAUUUAGUUGCUGCCGAAACUUCACUCUCACCAUAGCUAGGGUUUCUUCAACUUUCAAGCUUUAUAGUAAGUGAUUCUAAGCCCCGUUUUUAAUGAUUUUUACGUUUUUGAGAUCCCGGUAGCUCGAUUAAACUUAUGCUAACAAUAAUUCAACCUAGGGUUCAUAUUUGGAAAAAUACCCAUAGGUGAAAUUUGUGUAUUUUGAUGUUUUAUGAUAGAAUAUGGGGUUUUAAAUUAUGUUAGACAACUUGUGCUACUCGGUUUUAAGCGAAAACGAGUAAAAGGGCUUAAUCGGUAAAAAUACGUAAUAGUCAUAAGUACAUGUUAGAGUGAGAAUUUGAUGUUGCCAUAGAAGAGAAAAGUGAUCAGCAUAUAAGAAUAAGGAAUAAAGUUUAAUCCCGAGCCUAGGGGAAAAAAUGUAAAUAUGCAAAAGUUUAGGGGCAAAAUUGUAAUUUUUCCAAAAUUUGAGUUAAGGAUUAAUUUGAUAAUGUGAGUAUUAAAUGAGCUAAAUGUGUUAUUUUAGAUCAAGAAAGACGUGGAAUCGACCUCAAUCGAGGAAAAGAAAAGAUUGUGGACUAAAUUGCAAAAUCCUUGUAUUUUGGUACCAAGGUAAGUUCAUGUGUAAAUAAUAUAGCAUAAUUGUUAUUUUUAAGUUAUUGAUAUUAAUUAUGUGUUAUGCUGAAUUUCAUUAUGAAAUGUAUGCUUUGUGGUUAAUUUCAAAUAAUAUGUAAAUUAUGUGAGCUACUUGUUAAAUAUAAUUGUUACCGAGUAUUGAUUUCGGCAUUCUACGGAAGACGGCAAGGAUAAGUGUUCGAGAAAAAUCCCGUUUGAACCUUAGGAAUAGAUUAGGAUACAAGUGACAUGUCACUAGGAUGGUUGAGCAUCCGAACUCGUUGAGUUGAGUCCGAGUUCACUUAUGGAUGCGAAUGUCCGAACUCGUUGAGUUGAGUCCGAGUUUGUGAGAUGUAACUAGGCAUCCGAACUCGUUGAGUUGAGUCCGAGUUCACUUAUGGAUGCGAACGCCUGAGCUCAUUGAGUUGAGUCCGAGUUCGCUUAUGGGCGGGUUACAUGAUUGCUUGAUUGAAUAUGUGGCACUUAUGUGCAAUUUAUCCGUGUAUCCGAAUUAUAUUCCGAUGUGUUCAACGGGUAAAGUUCUACUCAAUGGAGGAAUAUUCGAGAUGUAAAGAGACGUAUUGGUGAGUGAUGUGAAAUGGAUAUUUUGGACAGGUAUGUAUUUAACCCUCGGGUUGAGUAUUGAUACAACCACUAUAAGGUAAUAAGAUGAUGAAAAAUGAUCAGAAAAGUGAUAUGUGUUUUAGUGAUGUAUGCUAAUGUUGAUUGGUAUAACUGUUUGUUAUGUUACUUAUUAUUUGCUUAUGAACUUACUAAGCAUUUAUGCUUACUCCCUCCUUCUUAUUCAUUGUAGUUUUGGACAAGCCAGCUCAGGAGCCGGGAUAGGUCGAAGGCUCAGUCACACUAUCUGGAAGACUUUUGGUAAAUGGCUUGUAAAUUUAAGUAUGGCAUGUAUAGCAAUAUACCUAUUUUGUGUAAAUGAUCUUAUGGUAUGGUUGUGGAAUGGUUGAGGAAAUGCUUGAUAAUGAUAAAUUAUGAAAAUGGUCAGUGUAGAUUAUGUUUGAUGUUAAGGAAAACUAUUAAGAUAUUUAGUGCAUAAAAACUCAUAAAAAGGAUGAAAUUUGCCAUAAACAGAAUACUGCAGCAACACUGAUGCGAGUUUUAGAAUUUACUAAAAAUCAUAGAAAUUGAAUUUGGUGAUGGAAUACAUAUCAAAUUGAAGCUUAUUAUGUCUAGUUUCACAUGAAAUAAAUGAAACAGGUAAAGGAAUUAUAUGUUAGAAGAUAUUUGAAUUUUAGUGAAACAGGGUCAUAGCAGUUUUUGAAUCCCCUGUUCCAACUUUAGAAAUUCAUCAUAAAUUAUAAAGAUAUAAUUAGGUGGUAUAUUUUAUAUCCUCAGAAUCCUUAUUGAGUCUAGUUUUAGUAGAAACAAAUCUCAUAGUCAUAUGAAUUUUGUACAGAGAGAAAUGUGGUUCGUAGUAAAAAGAGGUCAGACCAGUCGAGUCCUAAAAAAGGGGUAACUUUAACUAAUAAACUGUACUAAUUGGCCCAACCAAAAAUUCUAUAAAAAAAUUAGUAGAUAGGUAUAUGAGUCUAGAUUCAGGAAAAAUUUACGGAUCUUAAUUUUGAGUUUUGUAACUCGAUAUAUGAUUUUUCUUGUGACUGUGACGCAAGUAGCUUAAAAGCUGUGAAUGUAGAAACAAAUAAUCCAAAGUUCUAAAAAUGUUAAACUAAGCUUAGUAACACCUCAUACUCGACUCCGGCGACGGUCUCGGGCGUGGGGGCGUUACAAAUUAACUUGUCAAAAUAUGCCUAACAUAGCAAAUCACAACAAUAAUGUGAGUUCAUCAUAUGACCAAAUCGUAUAGCAAUUCAACAUUUAACAUCUCAAUUCAAUUCAAUACCAUUCACAUGAAAUCAACAAUUCAGUACCGUUUGCAUAAUUCAAUCAAUAUUUAACCAUUUGUAAACCAAACUUAUAUCUUCCAUUUUCAUUUUCAUUAACCAUUUAGCCCGAAUAACUUUAAUGAAUAGGUUCGGAUACACGGGUAACUACAUCACACCAGAUUGCUUGUCCGAGUAGUACCACACCAGGACACAAAAUGCAAAUCCCGUAGGCUAUCAUAUAUAUAAUCGUAUAACAAUAUGUCCCUCCGCCACAGUAGGGUCUCUGAAGAGGCAUUCAAUAUACGAUGAUUCACAACAAAUGCUAGAUCUCGAUAUGAUUUGUAAUAAAUCUCGUACAAUCACAUACUCCAUACCAUCACAUAUAACCUGUACCAAUGCCAAAAUAUACCUAUUGGCAUGUCAAUCGUAUCGUAUCAUCAUUUAUUACAUUCAUUCAAGCACAUUUAGCACAUAUAACUCUUUUCUUUACAAUUUAGCCCAUAUAUCACCUUUUUGUACCAAGUCGUAAAUAAUUCAAAUUACAUUCACACAACACAAAUUCAUAAUUCAAGUAUAUAUAUAAUUAAAUAUAACCAUACCUUAUGAACUUACCUGAAAAAAAAAACAAACAAAACAUCGAGGGCUAAUUCGUAAUUUUACCUUUUCCUCAAUUUCCCCCAUUUGAUUCAAUUUCUGAAUUAUAUGAUAAUUCAUUUCAAUUUAUCAAUCCCAAAUGCCUUAUAACAUCUUAUUACAUAAAUAUGACAGUUCAAAUUCACUUUCCAAAUGCUCUCUAAAGUUUUACAUUUUAUUCAAUUUAGUCCCUAAAACAGAAAUUAUCAUAACUUUCAAAUUUGAGUUUCGGUUUCGAAAUAAUUCUCAAUUACAUCCUUAUAAGGCUCUCUACUAUCCAUAAUUAUAGAAAUUUAUUACCAAUUUCAAAAUAUUGAUACUUUAGUCCCUAUAUUUGAAACUAACAAUUUUCACUUUACAAUCUUGUUCUUUUUCAUAUGUAAGCUUAAAAUCUAACCAUUUAAAACCAAUUUCAUUAAGAACUCAUCAAUGAAAAUUUUUAGAAAUUUUAACACUUUUACAAUUGAUACUCAAGCUAGUUAAAUCAAGCUCUUGAGACCUCAAGUAAAUGUUUUGUUUUUCUUUUAUUUUUAGCUUUUAUACUUAUUUUAAUUUUUAAUUAUUUAUAAUUUACUUAAUUAAUCCUUGUUUAAUUAAAACUAAUAACAAUUAGCGAAUUUGGUGGGUUAAAGUUGACAUCCAUCACCGCUUGGAUAUAUUAUAAUGGCCCAAUUGCUAAAAUGGUCCUUAAAUUAAUUAAAAAUUUGUAGUGAUUAAUUUUUACCAUUUUUAUAAUUUAGUCUUUAUUCCUUAAUUAACUAUGCAAUUAACAAAAUUAAGGGAUCAAAGUUAAAUUAACAUUAAUACUAACCUCGUAAAUAUUAUUUAAUAUUUACGAGCUUAAAUAUCGGAAAUAGAAUUUCGAAACUACUAUUUCCGGCCCACUAAAAAAAACUGUUCUAUUAAAGUAAAUAUUGUUAAGUAUUUAUCAAUAAAUAGAUCAAUUAUUUAAUGAAUAGAUUUAAAUUUUGGCAACAAACAUUUUAUAAUUGUUGCUAGUACAGUAACAUUUACCAACAACUAAUUUUAUUAUUGCAUAUUUGAUUAAGAUCUCACAUCAACAAAUUGUACAACUUAUUGUUAUGUAUUUUAUCAAGAACUUGUAACGAUAAACCUUAGUGUUACGAUUAAUAACAUGAAAACUAAAUUAUGUAAUGACAUUUUUAAUAUUAUUGUUAAUAUUUUAACAUUUAAUAAUAAUUUAUUUUGGUUUUUGCGUAUUUUAUUAAAAAUUAAUAAUGAUAAACCAUGUUGUUGCGGUUAAUAAAUAAAAGUAAAAAAUAAAUUACGUAACAACAUCUUACUUGCUAAUAUUAUAAUAUUUAACAACAAUUUCAUUUAUUGUUACGUCUAUAAUUAAAAAUUCACAAUAGAAAAUCCUGUCAUUGGGAUUUAACAACGACAUCUUAAAGUUGUUACAAAUAUUACAAUUUUACAUAACGAAGCUUGAGACAUUAAAACUAAUAAUUCUUAAAUCUAAAUUAGAUAACGUGGACUAAGUAAUUGGUCUAUGCGAGAUGAUAUCAUUUUACUACUUAAUCAUAAAAGUGCACAUGCAUUAGAAUAAAUCCACAUAAGAAAUAAGCAUGCACUGCCACGUAGACAAACACAUUAACGUCUGGUGUAGUAAUUAGUUCAACUUAACUCAAAAUAAAGAAUAGAAUUGAAAAUUAAACUUAUCAUGAUGUCAUAAAAAAACAAAAUAUGUCCAUGUUUUUGUCAACUUGAGGAAUUUUUUUUUUUUUUUAACACUUGUUGAGGUGAUAAAUUCUAAUACAAGAGUUUCCACUUUCUUUAAUUUUUGUGUUUCCAAAAAUGAAAUUACAAUUAUGUUUUCUUUUCCUAUUCACUUCCUCUAACAUUAUUUUUAAUUAAUAUGUUUUAUUUCAUCUCCAAAUUUUGUUUAAAAAUAUAACUUAAUAUAUAUAUUAUUCCUAUAAAAUUAUAUGUUAAAAUUUGUUUGGAUUUUAUUUUAUAUAAUGCUUUUAUUUAAAAAAUAUUUUUUGAAUUAAAUUUAUUUAAUAGACAUAUUUAUAAAAAAAAAUUAUACAAUUUUAGCAUGUGAUUUUAUAAAAAUAAUUUGAAAAAAAAUGAAAAUCAUAAGUAUGGUUAUAAAAUAAACUUGAAAAGUAUUUCAUUAAGUUAUUCUUUUAUUAAAAACAAAAGUAUGUUAUGUUAAUUUGUUUAGUAUUUAUGUGCCUGGAACAAGAAAGUUAAUAGGAAUAUACUAAAUAAGCUUCUAUUACAUUGACCACCCAAAUGAGUGUUAACUGUUAACGUAUUAAUUUCUUCUCUUUGAUCGAAUUCCCAAAUUCGCCCCCCCCCCCCUGUUCGCUAGCUUAUUAGACGUAGGAUUUGGUUCGCGUUUUGCAGGGAAUAGGGUGGUUUGAGAGAAAGAAAAAAAAAAAAAAAAAAAAAGAUGUUGACCAAGUUUGAGACGAAGAGUAAUAGAGUGAAGGGACUGAGUUUCCAUACUAAGAGGCCUUGGAUCUUAGCCAGUCUCCAUAGUGGUGUUAUCCAAUUAUGGGACUAUCGAAUGGGGACUCUGAUUGAUCGAUUCGACGAACACGAUGGCCCUGUUCGUGGCGUCCAUUUCCACAUGUCCCAGCCUUUGUUUGUCUCUGGAGGUUCAGAUUUCGUUUCAUUUCAUCUCAAUUUUAUAUCCGCUUAAUAAAUUUCCUUGAUUAUUUUACUGAUCUAUGGAUUUCGAUGUGAAUUUGUGAAAUGUGCUAGUUAAUUCGGAAUUAUUAGCUUCAAUUCUAUAUAACACUUGAGAAUCACGAUGUUUAUAAUAAUGCUGGAUCUAGAUUUACACUUUAGAGAUUUCAUAUAGUUGGACUUGGUUUACACCUUCUUAAUAUGCACAUCUAAGUCGGGGCCAGUAGACAUUGGAGACCUGCCAGUUUACCCUAUAUUAAAUUCAAGGGCUUUCUCUGAUGCCAAUUAUUGGAAUCUGGGAUGGAGAUAUUCCAAAAUUUAUUGCUUUUAUGCUGGUAAGCAUACACCUAACCCACCCAAACAGAGCCUGAUCUGCAAAUGAGAGACUAACUGUGCCUUAAGAUACAGGUAACAUUCCAAAACCUCAAAAUUUCAGGUCCCAAAUUUCCUUCACUUUUGGGACGGCCAACUGUGUCCAAUCCCACCUUGGCUCCCUCGGCAUUUCCUUCUUGGCCCUUCCACAGGAACGCGCUAGGCUGGUUUAUCUCAUUUAUCAUCCUAACUGAAAGAACAAGAUAUGGAACCAAUAGCUCUGCUUGCUGAACAGGGUGCACUAAAUUUUCUGCAGUCUGCCAACAUAGGUGACUCUUAACAUCCCAGCAGUUAAUGCAGCGAGUCAUUUCUGUAUAAGAGUUUCUCAACUCAACCUAUGAUUUGGUGAAUGAGUAAUUUUUCUUUUGUUCUGUUAGAUGCCUUUUUUAAGGUAAAUUAUUAUAAAUAAAAGGUUUGAAGAAUUAGAAUAGAUGCUUAAAAUAUGAAGUUUGAGUACCAAUAAUUGGGAAAUGAUUUAAAUUUUUGAAUUUCUAAUACAAUUAGAACUUCUGAGUGCAAACACAUUGGAAUGUGUAAAAUAUCACAACAAUUUAAUUUCAUUUAAUGAGAUUUUCAUUUCAGUUGCCUCAGUGAUUAUAUCAUUAGAGUUUUCUGGUCUUUUUCUUUUUUGGUCAUUAGAAUUAAGAAAACAUAAAUAGUCUUAUUUGAUAAGGUUUUAUGACCAGUAAUACACCAGUUUUUUACAAAUAAAAAUUAUGAAAGAACAAGUUAUGAAUACAACAAAUAUUCAUUUCUUUUGGAUGACAGUGAACACAGUCUUGAUAUAACUUUAUAGCUGUUUUUACAUGUUUAAACCAAGACGAAUAACAUACUUGUCGACCUUGCACCUUAGAUGUUAAAUUUCUGUGUCAGUAACUUUAUUACAGGAAAGGAGUGCCGUUGAGAUUAAUCUGAAAACUUUUAGAACACAAAAACAUGAGCAAGGAAGGUCUGAAUUUGAAGUUUUUAUUGGUUUCAAGAAUUUUCAAUUUGUGCUAUGGUUGUGUUUUACAAAGCAUAGGUUACUUGUCAAUACAAAUUAUAUGAAAAUCUGUGCUUUUUUGUUCAGGGGAUGACUACAAGAUAAAGGUCUGGAAUUACAAGUUACAUAGAUGUCUCUUCACCCUUCUUGGACAUCUGGAUUACAUUCGUACUGUGCAAUUUCAUCAUGAGCAUCCAUGGAUUGUGAGUGCCAGUGAUGAUCAGACUAUUCGCAUAUGGAACUGGCAGUCACGAACUUGUAUCUCUGUGUUGACUGGUCAUAAUCAUUAUGUUAUGUGUGCCUCAUUCCAUCCUAAAGAAGACCUGGUUGUGUCAGCCUCCCUUGAUCAGACUGUUCGAGUUUGGGAUAUUGGUUCCUUGAAAAAGAAGACGGCUUCUCCAGCAGAUGAUAUCUUAAGGUUGAGUCAUAUGAACACAGAUCUUUUUGGUGGUGCUGAUGCAGUUGUUAAGUAUGUGUUGGAAGGUCAUGACCGAGGUGUGAAUUGGGCUACAUUUCAUCCCACCUUACCUUUAAUAGUCUCUGGAGCAGAUGAUCGCCAAGUUAAGUUGUGGCGUAUGAAUGGUAAUUAUAGUAAAAUGGUUCAUUCUUCUCCCGCUUAUAUUGCAUUUGCUACAAAACUUGAUUAAAAUUUUUUAGUUAAGUACACUUGUUUGCCAAAUUAAAAUCUUCAUAAGGAACUUACCUAAUUACUUUCUUUUCUGAAGUUUGAUGUAUGUUACAUUGGGCCAUGAUAUUUUUGCAACUUCUCCAUUUUACUUUGUGCAGCUGGAGUUUAGACCACUGAGUCGGUGUGCAGCUAGUAAACUAUUUAUUUGUUUGCAGAUACAAAGGCUUGGGAGGUGGAUACCUUGAGAGGGCACGUAAAUAACGUGUCAUGUGUUAUGUUCCAUGCCAAACAAGACAUCAUUGUAUCUAACUCUGAGGAUAAAAGCAUUCGUGUAUGGGAUGUAACAAAGCGAACUGGACUUCAAACUUUCCGUCGAGAACAUGACAGAUUCUGGAUUCUUGCUGUUCAUCCUGAGAUGAAUAUUUUGGCAGCUGGACAUGACAGUGGCAUGAUUGUAUUUAAGCUAGAGAGAGAGCGUCCUGCUUUUGCAGUGAGUGGGGAUUCUCUGUUUUAUGCCAAGGAUAGGUUUAUAAGGAAUUUUGACUUUCCAACUCAAAGAGAGGCACAGGUAAUUCCAAUUCGACGUCCUGGUUCCACAAGUCUGAAUCAAAGUCCAAGAACUCUGUCUUAUAGUCCUACAGAAAAUGCUGUCCUUAUCUGCUCAGAUGUAGAUGGAGGAUCAUAUGAGUUGUAUGUGAUACCAAAAGACAGCUUUGGUAGGGGUGACGGUUCGCUGGAGGCAAGGAAAGGUGUUGGUAGUUCUGCUAUAUUUGUGGCACGGAACCGGUUUGCUGUGCUUGACAAAGGCAACAACCAAGUUCUUGUCAAGAAUCUUAAAAAUGAAGUGGUGAAAAAGAGUGGCCUCCCGGUACCUACGGAUGCAAUCUUUUAUGCUGGAACAGGUAGCUUGUUGUGUAGGUCAGAGGAUAGAGUAGUCAUAUUUGAUCUCCAGCAAUGGCUUGUCCUUGGUGACCUUCAAACCCCUUUUGUGAAAUAUGUUGUUUGGUCUAAUGACAUGGAAAGUGUUGCUUUGCUCAGCAAGCAUUCCAUUAUCAUUACUAACAAGAAGCUUGUGCAUAAGUGCACUCUUCAUGAGACAAUACGUGUUAAAAGUGGAGCGUGGGAUGAGAAUGGUGUUUUUAUUUACACCACCUUAAACCAUAUAAAAUAUUGCCUUCCCAAUGGAGAUAGUGGAAUAAUCCGUACGCUUGAGAUUCCUAUAUACAUAACUAAGGUUUCAGGCCAUACUAUAUUUUGCCUGGAUCGUGAUGGGAAGAAUAAGAGUGUCGUUAUUGAUGCUGCAGAAUACAUUUUCAAGCUCUCUCUGCUUCGGAAGCGAUAUGAUCAUGUUAUGAAUAUGAUAAGAAACUCCCAGCUCUGUGGUGAGGCCAUGAUUGCUUAUCUGCAACAGAAGGGGUUCCCUGAAGUGGCUCUCCAUUUUGUCAAAGAUGAGAAAACACGCUUUAAUUUGGCUUUAGAGAGUGGGAACAUUCAAAUUGCUGUUGCAUCAGCUAAGGAGAUUGAUGACAAAGAUCAUUGGUAUAGGUUGGGUGUGGAGGCCCUUCGCCAAGGCAAUGCUGCUAUAGUGGAAUAUGCCUACCAGAGGACUAAGAACUUUGAGAGAUUGUCUUUUCUUUAUCUCAUAAAUGGUAACCUGGAAAAGCUAUCCAAGAUGCUGAAAAUUGCAGAAGUUAAGAAUGAUGUUAUGGGUCAGUUUCACAAUGCUUUGUACCUUGGUGAUAUACAGGAACGAGUUAAGAUCUUGGAGAAUGCUGGUCACUUACCUCUUGCUUAUAUUACAGCAUCUGUCCAUGGUCUACAGGAUGUUGCUGAAAGGUUAGCAGCUGAGUUGGGAGAUGAUGUCCCUCCUUUGCCAGUGGAUAAAAAUCCUUCCCUAUUGAUACCUCCAACCCCUGUUAUGUGUGGUGGUGAUUGGCCCCUUCUGAGAGUCAUGAAAGGCAUAUUUGAUGGUGGAUUUGAUGGUGGCAGGGGUGCUGUGGAUGAAGAGGAGGAGGGUGCAGAAGGUGACUGGGGUGAAGAUCUUGAUGUGGUUGAUGGCUUGCGGAUUGGGGACGUUAGUGCCAUUUUGGAGGAUGGAGAAGUGGCCGAAGAAAAUGAAGAGGGUGGAUGGGACCUUGAAGAUUUAGAACUCCCUGCUGAGGUAGAAACCCCUAAGGUUUCCGGCAAUGGUCGUUCUUCUAUUUUUGUGGCACCAACUCCUGGUAUGCCUGUAAGUCAGAUUUGGAUUCAGAGGUCAUCUCUUGCUGCUGAACAUGUAGCAGCUGGCAAUUUUGACACAGCAAUGUGUUUGCUGAGCAGGCAACUCGGUAUAAGGAACUUUGCUCCUUUGAAAUCCAUGUUUCUUGAUCUUUACACUGGCAGUCAUAGCUAUCUUCAUGCAUUAACAUCUGCUCCAGUGGUGCCCCUGGCAGUUGAGAGGGGAUGGAGUGAGUCUGCUGCUCCUAAUGUUAGGUGUCCACCAGCCCUUGUAUUCAAUUUUUCUCAGUUGGAUGAUAAGCUGAAGGCUGGGUACAAGGCCACAACAGCUGGAAAAUUCACUGAGGCUCUUCGGCUCUUCCUCAGCAUUCUUCAUACGGUUCCAUUGAUUGUUGUGGAGUCAGGGAGGGAAGUUGAUGAAGUCAAGGAGUUAAUUAUUAUUGCCAAGGAGUAUGUACUUGGUCUGCAGAUGGAGCUGAAGCGAAGAGAGAUGAAAGACAAUCCAGUACGCCAGCAGGAGCUUGCUGCCUACUUCACCCACUGCAACCUUCAACUGCCUCACCUCAGACUUGCUCUGCUGAAUGCAAUGACCAUCUGCUAUAAGGCUAAGAACCUGGCUACAGCAGGUAACUUUGCCCGGCGACUAUUAGAAACAA